rnacentral:rRNA from 1 species
AUACGGAGGGUGCAAGCGUUACUCGGAAUCACUGGGCGUAAAGGACGCGUAGGCGGGAUGCCAAGUCUGAUGUGAAAUCCUAUGGCUCAACCAUAGAACUGCAUUGGAAACUGGUAACCUAGAGUAUGGGAGGGGGAGAUGGAAUUAGUGGUGUAGGGGUAAAAUCCGUAGAUAUCACUAGGAAUACCGAAAGCGAAGGCGAUCUCCUGGAACACUACUGACGCUAAGGCGUGAAAGCGUGGGGAGCAAACAGGAUUAGAAACCCCGGUAGUCC